AUUGAAUGCUGGCGGCAUGCUUUACACAUGCAAGUCGAACGGUAACAGGCCGCAAGGUGCUGACGAGUGGCGAACGGGUGAGUAAUGCAUCGGAACGUGCCCAGUCGUGGGGGAUAACUACUCGAAAGAGUAGCUAAUACCGCAUACGAUCUAUGGAUGAAAGCGGGGGACCGUAAGGCCUCGCGCGAUUGGAGCGGCCGAUGUCAGAUUAGGUAGUUGGUGGGGUAAAGGCUCACCAAGCCAACGAUCUGUAGCUGGUCUGAGAGGACGACCAGCCACACUGGGACUGAGACACGGCCCAGACUCCUACGGGAGGCAGCAGUGGGGAAUUUUGGACAAAGGGCGCAAGCCUGAUCCAGCAAUGCCGCGUGCAGGAAGAAGGCCUUCGGGUUGUAAACUGCUUUUGUACGGAACGAAACGGCUCUGGUUAAUACCCGGGGCUAAUGACGGUACCGUAAGAAUAAGCACCGGCUAACUACGUG
rnacentral:rRNA from 1 species